CCGCCCGUCACAUCACGAAAGCCAGUUGUACUAGAAGCCGGCAAUUCAACCGCAAGGAGACAGCCGUCCAAGGCAUGACUGGUGAUUGGGGUG
rnacentral:rRNA from 1 species